rnacentral:tRNA from 1 species
GUUGUGGCUCAGGGGUAGAGAGCUUGCCUAGCAUAUGUAAGGCACUGGGUUCGAUUCUCAGCACAGCA